CGAAACUGUCAAAUAAGUUUAAAAAGGGAUAUUAAGCUAAAUUUAUCAAGUGUUUUAACAUUAACACAUUAAAUAAGACCAGUACUUAUGUUUGGUUUGGACUCACUUUUGAUUGUCAUGUUUAUUCAUGGAGCAGAUAGCUCCACCUGCUAACAGUGGACGGCAUCCUGUUUGAGAUAGGAGGAAAGUAUAAAAAGUUUCCGGGUGUCCUAGUUUUUCCAGUUGUUUGCAAUUGUAAUCGUCACUGAUGGCUGCUCACGUUGGGGUUAUGGAGAUGAUCUUUGGAUUGUUGCUGUUGUCCUUGGUGGCCGUCGGGAGAAACAGAGUAAUUGCUACGGACACUGAAACUGAAACUUAUGAAGAAGAAGAAGUGGAUGACGCUGAAAAGCUUCCCAUUCAACUAGACCACCUCACUGAGUAUUUAUUUGAUCACCUAAAACAAUUGCCUGUGAAGCAUAAAUUCCUGACUGGAGGCUCGUUAGAUCCAACUAAACAAACUGGAGAUCCAAAUGGGAAGUCUGCAGGCCCCAUGGAGCCAACUGACCAAGUAGGUCGCAUGAAACCUUUCAUUUUGGCCAUGAACCCCACAUCUGUUUUUGGAGAUCCACUGGGUCCCAGGAAACCAAUGCCUAUGCCAGUGGAGCCAAAUUACCCAAUCGGGGGCCCAGUAGGUCCUAUGAAACCAGUGCCANNNNNNNNNNAUGCCAGUGGAACCAAAAUACCCAAUUGGGGGCCCAGUAGGUCCUAUGAAACCAGUGCCUAUGCCAGUGGAACCAAAAUACCCAAUUGGGGGCCCAGUAGGUCCUAUGAAACCAGUGCCAAUGCCAGUGGAGCCAAAAUACCCAUUUUGGGGCCCUGUAGGUCCUAUGAAACCAGUGCCUAUGCCAGUGGAGCCAAGGUAUCCAAUUGGGGGCCCUGUGGGUCCUAUGAAGCCAAACCCUUUCCCUAUGGAGCCCAAAUACCCAAUUGGGGGCCCAGUAGGUCCCAUGAAGCCUAUGCCAGUGGAGCCAAAGUAUCCAAUUGGGGGCCCUGUGGGUCCUAUGAAGCCUAUGCCUGUGGAGCCAAAGUAUCCAAUUGGGGGCCCUGUGGGUCCCAUGAAACCAAUGCAUUUGCCCAUGCAGCCUCGCGACAAUUCAGCAGGACCACCGUACAAAGACUUGGACUUCAUGGGCCCCUUCCAGAUGCCUCAGGCAUCCCAAUCAUCAAGUUUUGAUGGGACGUUUUACGCAGAUCCUGUUUUUGACUUUUAUAUGUGGUUUUGCAACAUGGGAGAUCGGUUAGAACCACCACAACAGCCCCCCCAGGGCCAACAAAAGUGGGAACAACUACAUUAACAGGUUGGGUGUUUGAUUUUCAUCAUUUUUCCAGUUUCUUUACUACAGUUUUUAAAGUAAUGUGCUGUUUGUUUUUUCCAGGUACAAUGGUGAAGGAGCUGAUCGGCUGUAUAUUUUUUACCACAAUAAAAUGUUUAUCUGUGAUUCCGUGUCUGUCUUUGUUUGCUAUCACACUGACUAAAGUAAGAUGAGGGAGUUCAGACAUGAUAAGUUUUCCCAGAAGAAGGCCUUUCUUUGUGUUUAUAUAGUUAAAGACAGAAGGUCAUUUUGUUGACAGUAGUUUUCAGGCUC
rnacentral:lncRNA from 1 species